rnacentral:rRNA from 1 species
GUGCCAGCAGCCGCGGUAAUACAGAGGUCCCAAGCGUUGUUCGGAUUCACUGGGCGUAAAGGGUGCGUAGGUGGCUGGGAAAGUUUGAUGUGAAAGCUCAGGGCUCAACCCUGAAAUGGCAUUGAAUACUACUUAGCUGGAGGUUUGGAGGGGGGACUGGAAUUCUCGGUGUAGCAGUGAAAUGCGUAGAUAUCGAGAGGAACACCAGUGGCGAAGGCGAGUCCCUGGACAACACCUGACACUGAGGCACGAAAGCUAGGGGAGCAAACAGGAUUAGAAACCCCAGUAGUCC